rnacentral:rRNA from 1 species
CGCCUUGCCAGCCCGCUACAGAAACUUAAAGGAAGUUGACGGGGGCCCGCACAAGCGGUGGAGUAUGUGGUUUAAUUCGAUGCAACGCGAAGAACCUUACCUGGUCUUGACAUCCCGGAGACCCUUAGGAAACUAGGGGUGCUUCCAUCUGGAAGAAUCUGGAGACAGGUGCUGCAUGGCUGUCGUCAGCUCGUGUCGUGAGAUGUUGGGUUAAGUCCCGCAACGAGCGCAACCCUUGCCUUUAGUUGCCAGCAGUUCGGCUGGGCACUCUAAAGGGACUGCCGGUGUUAAACCGGAGGAAGGUGGGGAUGACGUCAAGUCCUCAUGGCCUUUAUGACCAGGGCUACACACGUACUACAAUGGCCGAUACAAAGGGCAGCGACACUGCGAGGUGAAGCCAAUCCCGUAAAAUCGGUCUCAGUCCGGAUUGGAGUCUGCAACUCGACUCCAUGAAGUUGGAAUCGCUAGUAAUCGUGGAUCAGCAUGCCACGGUGAAUACGUUCCCGGGCCUU